rnacentral:rRNA from 1 species
UGAAUUGACGGGGCCCGCACAAGCGGUGGAGCAUUGUGGUUAAUUCGAUGCAACGCGAAGAACCUUACCUAGACUUGACAUCCCGGGAAUCCUUAGGAAACUAAGGAGUGCCUUUCGGGGAGCCCGGAGACAGGUGCUGCAUUGGCUGUCGUCAGCUCGUGUCGUGAGAUGUUGGGUUAAGUCCCGCAACGAGCGCAACCCCUAUCUUUAAUUGCCAUCAUUCAGUUGGGCACUUUAGAGAGACUGCCGGUGUUAAGCCGGAGGAAGGUGGGGAUGACGUCAAGUCCUCAUGGCCUUUAUGUCUAGGGCUACACACGUGCUACAAUGGGUGGUACAGACGGACGCAAAGCCGCGAGGUGGAGCAAAUCCUAAAAAGCCGGUCUCAGUUCGGAUUGCAGGCUGCAAUUCGCCUGCAUGAAGUCGGAAUCGCUAGUAAUCGCGUAUCAGCAGGUCGCGGUGAAUACGUUCCCGGGUCUU